GGUAUUUAAUACUAGAUUUGAGAUGAUAUCAUAUUUAAUGGCACACACUUAAGAAUACCUUCAAAAUUUAUAUUUGCAUAGAUGGAAAGAUAACAUCCAUGAAAUGGACACCAUCUUAUAGAUAGAACCAUAUUUUACAAAUUAAGUAUAGUGAGACGGCCAAAUCUUUGUGAUCUCAUUUUGAGCGAGAUGGGAGUAAAUAUUCUCUAGCCAUAAGUCUAUAUAUAAAGAUACAAUGCUUCUAGACGCCCAAACCGAGUCAGGAGUAAGAAGUUUGUGUCUUCUCUUAUGGAAGGGAAAGCUAUUCUUCUUUGCCUUAUGGUGCUUGCGCACGUUGGAAAUUCCAUUCAUAUUGAUAAAUGCAAGGAUCUAGUUCACCCGCAAAGAAAAACAUGCAAGGAUCUAACUGCUUCUAUCGGCCGUGAGUGCAAUCUGUCAAAAUGCCAGGUGACCUGCAAAGAUUUGUUUGCAGCAGAACUCACAGCCUCAUGGUGUAUCAACCCCGUCCCAUACUAUUGGCAUUGUAGGUGCCGUAUCUGUUUGUAGAGUUGCACUGAAAAAUCAUGUCGAAAAAUGGACAAAUGAUGUGAUCCGAUAAUAAAAUCUUCCUGUGACAUGCAUCUAAGAAUACAUAACGAUUGCCAUUUUAGGUGUUCUA